UACGGGGGGGGGCAAGCGUUGUUCGGAAUUACUGGGCGUAAAGGGCUCGUAGGUGGCCAACUAAGUCAUACGUGAAAUCCCCGGGCUCAACCCGGGAACUGCGUCCGAUACUGGAAGGCUUGAAUCCGGGAGAGGGAUGUGGAAUUCCAGGUGUAGCGGUGAAAUGCGUAGAUAUCAGGAGGAACACCGAUGGCGAAGGCAGGUCUCUGGGCCACUACUGACGCUGAGAAGCGAAAGCAUGGGGAGCGAACAGG
rnacentral:rRNA from 1 species